rnacentral:siRNA from 1 species
UGAAGCAAUCUGUUACCGUCUUAA